GAGCUGAUUUAAAUGCUUAUUUUAGUUGGAAUUACCGGCCGAACUUCAGUUGAUGUUAACUAUAGACUGGCUUUGUGAGGCUUCAU